UACGGAGGGGGCUAGCGUUGUUCGGAAUUACUGGGCGUAAAGCGCACGUAGGCGGCUUUGUAAGUUAGAGGUGAAAGCCCGGAGCUCAACUCCGGAAUUGCCUUUAAGACUGCAUCGCUUGAAUCAUGGAGAGGUGAGUGGAAUUCCGAGUGUAGAGGUGAAAUUCGUAGAUAUUCGGAAGAACACCAGUGGCGAAGGCGGCCCGCUGGACAUGUAUUGACGCUGAGGUGCGAAAGCGUGGGGAGCAAACAGG
rnacentral:rRNA from 1 species